rnacentral:rRNA from 1 species
GAUGAACGCUAGCGGCAGGCUUAACACAUGCAAGUCGAGGGGUAACAGAGGUAGCUUGCUACUUGCUGACGACCGGCGCACGGGUGCGUAACGCGUAUAGAAUCUGCCUCAUACUGGAGGGAUAGCCUUUAGGAAACGAGGAUUAAUACUCCAUGGUAUCAUGAAUUCGCAUUGUUUUUAUGAUUAAAGUUUUUCGGUAUGAGAUGGGCAUGCGUCCUAUUAGCUAGUUGGUGAGGUAACGGCUCACCAAGGCGACGAUGGGUAGGGGGCCUGAGAGGGUGGUCCCCCACACUGGUACUGAGACACGGACCAG